GAUGAACGCUGGCGGCGUGCCUAAUACAUGCAAGUCGAGCGAACGGACGAGAAGCUUGCUUCUCUGAUGUUAGCGGCGGACGGGUGAGUAACACGUGGAUAACCUACCUCUAAGACUGGGAUAACUUCGGGAAACCGUAGCUAAUAACGGCUAAUAUUUUGAACCGCAUGGUUCAAAAGUGAAAGACGGUCUUGCUGUCACUUAUAGAUGGAUCCGCGUUGCAUUAGCUAGUUGGUAAGGUAACGGCUUACCAAGGCAACGAUGCAUAGCCGACCUGAGAGGGUGAUCAGCCACACUCGAACUGAGACACGGUCCAGACUCCUACGGGAGGCAGCAGUAGGGAAUCUUCCGCAAUGGGCGAAAGCCUGACGGAGCAACGCCGCGUGAGUGAUGAAGGUCUUCGGAUCGUAAAACUCUGUUAUUAGGGAAGAACAUAUGUGUAAGUAACUGUGCACAUCUUGACGGUACCUAAUCAGAAAGCCACGGCUAACUACGUG
rnacentral:rRNA from 1 species